rnacentral:lncRNA from 1 species
AUUUGUUUUCGUGAUGAUUAAUUAACCACCCUUAAAAAUGAAACUACCAUUCAUCUAUCGAAGGUAUUGUAGUAUAAUUUUGAAUAACCUCAUUGAAACAGCAAUCGCACAACAACAAACUAAAAAGAAAGAUUAGACUUAAUGUACAAAAAAUGCCAUUUAACUUUAUUCUUUAUUCAACACGCAACAUGCAACAAGCAACAUGCAACACGCAACACGCA